rnacentral:rRNA from 1 species
AUGAGCCACGCUACAAAGCCUUGGGACUUGAGCCACCCCGGCCCCUUCAAAUCAAAUCGCUCCAAUAAGCAAGCCGGGCUACCGGUAGUAGCUCCACACUGCCACUCACUGCGCGACACCGCUCCUUCCAUCGCCGGUAGCAGCAGCCACCACCACCACUUCAAGUGCAAGGCCUCUCACACCCUCUCUCAGUCAUCAGCUCCUCAUCACUCUGCUUCUUGCAGUCUCGGCACCUGCAUCGGCUUCGCCGCUCAUUCCCACAUCCCGAUCAAUCCCCAAGCAAGGAAGAUGAAGAUUUUCAGCUGGAUGGCGAACAAGAUCAGCGGGAAGCAGGAAGCGAGCCGCUUCCCGGCCAGUUCCUCGGGCCCUUCUCGUUCUAACGUGCCGGAUUGUCGCAACGACGAGUUCAGCGAUUGGCCCCAAUCAUUGCUUGCCAUUGGGACAUUUGGAAAUAAGCAGAUAGAGGAGGUAGCACAAGUGCAGGACACUUCCGAGGAUGGGCAGUCCAUGCAAGAUGCCAUCAAGUUUACAGAGGAGGAAGUAGACAGGAUACAGAAAGAGUUUGCAAUGAUACUAGCAAGCAAAGACCAAGCAGAAGCCCAUGACUCGCACGAUGAUGAGCAGGUAACUUCACACAAAGAAGUCGAUGAGAGCAUAAAUGAGAAGCACAGGGACCAGCUGCUGAACAAGAUGGUCGUCAUAAGUAAGGCAAAAGAUUCACUGGGGAAGAAAGCAAGUACACUUAAGCCGAGGUCGGUUGCUUCGCUCUUCAAACUACUCAUGCGCAAAGGUGGCUUUGCCUCUGCUAUUCCAGAUCCAAGGAGCUCUUUCCCUCAAUCAAGAAUGGAAAAGCUGCUCAAGGCAAUACUUCAGAAGAAAAUACACCCGCAAAAUUCUUCGACGCUCGUACCUAGGAGACAUUUGGACUGGAAGCCGGAUGAGCAAGAGAUCAAUGAAUGCCUCGAGGAUGCACUCCGUGAUCUAGACGACGAUGGCGCAAAAUGGGUCAAAACUGAUUCAGACUUUAUUGUGCUAGAAAUGUAA